AGAGCUGCUGUAGUGGUUUAGUCCUUCUUGCUUGCCUGUACCUGUUGCCUGUUCUGACUGCCUGUUGCCUACAUCCAACCUGAUUUCUCUGAUGAUUCCCAUCACCACGUGUGUUUCAUCAUAAUCAGUUCAACUGACACCGGCAUACUGUGAGCUCAGUUGACCUCUCUGACUUACUCUGGAUUGGUAAAAAUGAUAAAAAGUGACUAAAGUUAAUUUCCGGCAAGUUGAAGUAUUCCCUGUGGCACUUGGACUUUAUCGAGCAAAGUGAUGACGAGAACACUGGACAUCAGCACUGUUUGGGUACCUUCGUCAGUCGUACAGAGACACACAGGUGGGUAAGAUUACUGCUCGUGUCUUCACUGGAUAGAGUCGCUAGUCUUUUGAUGUGUCAGCCAGACGUCCAGAAGAACUCCACUGAGUGAUUUAUGAAGCAGUAAAGCUCCCAGCCAAAAGGAUCAAACGUAUGAAGACAUGACCAGUGAUGGCACCCCACUGCAGCUGCUGUAGCUACUGUUCCGCUGGAUAUGUGUGUGUCCAAUACAUGUAUACAUGUGUGUGCAUUUUCUUGUGCGUGUGUUAUGUAAAGGAAAAUA